rnacentral:lncRNA from 1 species
CAACGAUCUGAGGGCUCAUUCGGGAAAAGUUACGAUGUAUUGUAACUUUUCCAGCUAUGCGACAGUACUUGAGGGGCUGGACGAGGAGCAUAUUGACUUACUCCGUCGAUCAUUUUUAUGGUCGUUCUAUCCGUUGAAGGACGUGCANAAUUUUUGGUAAAGGAGUUGCAUUGCUAAACACAAGUGGUGGUGGUGCUAAGAGCUUUGAAAAUGUUUUAAAGUGGUGUUUGUUCAAAGAAAGAAAAGAAAAGAAAAGUCUACAGGUAAUUUGUUGAUUUGGUAGGUUUGAGCAAUGAAAUGGGGUUCAACCCCAACUUUGAGGACCUCUGUCGUCCCGCUUUUAGAGUUAUGUGAGGGAGGUAAAUCGCGGUACGUGCCAUAACGGGUCAGAGAACAAGAGAUGUUUGUAAAUUGCGUCUACAAGGAGUUUAAUUUCAUGUUUCAGGAAUCGAACUCCCACACUGCGACUGCCAACAAGGUUUGAGAUAACCAUAGAACUUUUGUGCACUUAUUUCUACAAACAAAAUGUUGAUGAAUUGUGAAAGAUGAAUGGAAGGAUUUGUGUUAUUUCUCAAGAAUUGAAUCCAUUUUUGAGGUCUUAAAUGUUGGAUGGAUUUUGUAUUUGCCUGCUCCGUUAAGAUUAUUUCUUUUCCGUCUGGAUUUGGAUUCAUCAUUUAGGAAUGAAUUUUAGAAGUUCACAGUUGUACUUCAUUUGUAAGCAGGAAAGAUUUGUAAGGUGGCUGAGUUGUACAAAAACUUGGAAG